rnacentral:miRNA from 1 species
AACACGAUGGCAAAGACGAGA